rnacentral:lncRNA from 1 species
AGGCCGCAAUUGAAGCUUCAGGUUCCCGAGUUGAAGAUUUAUAUGGUUGAUGCAUCAGAUGCAGAGGUGUAUGUGCUGCAAUCCAAUCUUUCCUCAAUCUUCUCCCUCAACCUUUUAAAUAUCUUAUUUAUAGAUUUACAGUCCUGUAUAGUUGAUGCAGAUGCGGUGGUGCAUCCACGAUAGUUUGAAGAAAGGAGGCCGCAAUUGAAGCUUCAGGUUCCCCAGUUGAGGAUUUAUAUUGGGCCGGCAGCAUGACAACUCACACUCCAUGCCUAUUCGAGUUCAUCUCCCAUUAAUCCUGCCCCACCCCGCAUUGUUAAAUCCCUCCUUUCUAUCUAUUGAAUUCAUCACGGAGCCCCUAAUAAUUUAGCUUGAUCCAUAAUGUCUCAUCGGGUAAAACUAGCUCUUCCUGUUUCUAAUUUCAGCAGCUCUCUUCCCUGUAUCAGGUUAUACGUCUUGGGAAGCGGAGGAAAACCAGCUAGGUGGUCUGCAUGCAUCACCUAGAGUGGGGCCUUGCUGUAAGCUUGUGUUAGACAUUUACACUACAUCUAUAUCAAGAAGCCAUGCACGGGCCAGUUCACAUUGAUUAUUUAUAGGAAGCUUUAAGUGCCUUACCAUGCGACCCUUUGUUAGAAAACAGAUUAGUUGAUGAUUCCUACAGACAGAAUUUUAUUGUAUGUUAUUUCUUCCAAGUAAAUGCAAGUUGUUAAAUUAUCUGUGUGGUAGCUUGGUAUAUACAUUUAAUAAUUUUCUCUUCUAGGAUUUAAAAAUGUAUGCUGACAGAUGUUGAUCUGUCCAUUGUCGCCUCUUUCAUGUGAUGUUACCUGUCGGCUCAACCAGUGCAGGGUUGCUAUUCUCUUGGCCGAGGUCUCUGUUGCCUCUUCCAUGUGCUGCCACCACUCUCCACAACCAACCUAGGCCAAGGAUGGACAACGGCGUUGAAAGAGCACCUCACAGGCGUUUGUGUUAGACAAGAAUUUAAGUGCAGGUUAAUCUCUCUUGAUGGAAAAUUUUGGCCAUCCGUUCUGUAGUAACUGUAUUUUUUCGAUAAACAGUAACUGUAAUUAGGUAUGUGAGAAUUAAUAGAUUUUGACAUAACAAAUCAGGUGCUUCAACCGAGUCGCUCGUGUGGCAAUUACUGCUGAGAGAUAACGUAUAUUUGCAUUGAAGCAGGCAGAUUCUUUUUUCUUUUGCGGAAAGAAGCAGACAGAGGCUCAUGUGGGCUCUUAGAUAUUUUCACGUUAUAUAAUCUCCUACUGAAUAUUUGUUGUUUGCGUACAUAGCAGUUUUUUAAUCAUGGCGUUUAAGCGCUUAUAUAAGAACUCUGCAUUAGAGAUGGC